GUGAGGAAUAUUGGUCAAUGGACGAGAGUCUGAACCAGCCAAGUAGCGUGAAGGAUGACUGCCCUAUGGGUUGUAAACUUCUUUUAUAAGGGAAUAAAGUGAUGGACGUGUCCCUUUUUGUAUGUACCUUAUGAAUAAGGAUCGGCUAACUCCGUGCCAGCAGCCGCGGUAAUACGGAGGAUCCAAGCGUUAUCCGGAUUUAUUGGGUUUAAAGGGAGCGUAGGUUGACAUAUAAGUCAGCUGUGAAAGUUUACGGCUCAACCGUGAAAUUGCAGUUGAUACUGUAUGUCUUGAGUGUACAAGAGGUGGGCGGAAUUCGUGGUGUAGCGGUGAAAUGCUUAGAUAUCACGAAGAACUCCAAUUGCGAAGGCAGCUCACUGGGGUACAACUGACACUGAGGCUCGAAAGUGUGGGUAUCAAACAGGAUUAGAAACCCCUGUAGUCC
rnacentral:rRNA from 1 species